GUUCUCUCCAUCCUUAUUGGUAUUGGUUAUGUUUUCCAGGGUAUGAUUCCUCUCUGCCCACAAAAAAUCCCAGAACACGUGGGAGGGCGUCCGGAGCGUCUCCUGGCUUCACAGGGACAGUUGUCUGUAGCAGACUGUGACCUGUGGACCGAAUCCCUAGUCACGGAUUGCCCAUCUGGGGUCAGUCUGGCCUAGGCACAUGCUUUACUUAACGUGUCGUUUCAAACAAAAUGUUUAAAAUAGAUAUCAACAAUUUAGAAUGAAAAGAGUCACAGGAAAUCCCGAUUUUCUGUUUCUUUUGGGGAGGGAGGGGACAUAUUCCUGGUAACCAUGGUCCUAAAUUCCUACAGGGCAGCUGUGGGGAGGGACUGGAGCUGGGUCCCUUGGUUCCCCAUAGACCCCCACUGACCAGCCUGGCCUCUUGGGGGCUCUUCCGGUCACCAUCGGCUUAGGGUGAGUGACUCCUGCCCUAAGGUUUUCCCGCAGGGACCUCACUGCUUUCUCAGUGUAGGCUGUUUCCUUCGGGUGGCUUUGGUGGGGCAGUUCUCUGUGUUUUGGAGUUGGCCAACCACUUCUUCCCCAUGACUUGCUUAUCCUUGAGUCGUCACUUUCUUUGCCAACUUCCUGCGGUGUGGCCAGCUAUUAUCCCCCAGUACAGGUGAUACUCAUCUCCCAGGCCUCUGAAUAGCUCAUGGCGUUCGCUAUGUGGUUCCCUGAUGAAUUCCCGUCAAGUCUAAACUCGGACCUAAACCAGCAGGGAAACCGAGGUUCUGAGCUGUAGAGCCAUCCUGGGUAGCCUUCGCUGCAGGGCGCCAGGGUUAAGAGGGGCAGGCACUGCCCUCCAUUUGCCAAAUAAAGUCACCACAAAAUGUUGCUUAGCCUUCUGAGAUUUGUAAUUUAAAAAAAUUAAGCUCAAAAAUUGACUUUUUUUUUCCUUCAAGUAGGUUGAGUGUACUUUAUAUCACUUAAAAUUGUCUUCCUCUAUAGUAAAAGGGAUUGUUGGAGUUCCCCCAACUUUCUCCUCCCCACCCCCACCAAACCAGAGCGCAUUUCCCAGCCUCCCUUGCAGUUAGUUGAGGUCAUGUGACUGGUUUUUAGCCAAUAGGAUGUGACAGGAGUAAAGCCAGCCCAUCCAGUCCUGGCUCAUAAAAUCUCUUAUGUUCUUCUGCCUUCUGCGGUGACCUUGGACGCGUGGACUGAAAAAGAAUACAGGUUGGAAAGGAGCCUGCUUCUGAAUGAAUUCUUCUGUGUGUAGCUUUUGCUGGGUUGUUGCAUCCAUCCUCUACCAGUAGGGGGCAAAUUUAUUUAAUUUUUCUGCACCUCAGUUUUCCUCACUUGCAAACUGGGAAUAUUGAUAGUAAUUACUUGUUAGAGCUAUUAUAUGAAUUAAUAUUUAUAAAUCUCCUAGGAGAGUCCUCUGCUUAAGCUCUGAGGCUCAGAGGUUAAGUUAACCUGCCCACAACCACACAACUAGUAAACGGGAAUACACCAGGAAUCCAACUCAACUGUACAUGACAGCAACUUACUUCUAGUUCUUCACAGCCUCACUACAGACGAUUGUGCUGAACUCAGUUGAAUAAGAGAUGUAGAGAAGAGAGGACUUGUGCCUACGAUCACAAAGCCAGUCUUUGUCUCAGUUAUAAGUUAAAAUUAUCCCAGGACAACUGAACUCCUAUUGCCUGCGGCAGGAGAACUUAGGAAGUAUUCAGAAGUGAUCAUGAUUGAGAUUGGCCAAGAUCAUGAUUGAGACUAAUAUGGGUGGGUAGCCUCCCUAUGGGUGCAUAAUUGGCUAGAAGCGGUAUGUGGAGCUCUGAUGGGCAAACAAGAGGUGGAGAAGGACACCCAACAAUGAACCACAACAAAUGAUUCACUAGAAAUAUCCUACCCGCCCACUGUUGAUCUGAGAUUUCUGAACUAAAAAAAUCUAACUUCAAUAUCACUGGAAUAUAAACUUUUGGUUUAAUGGGCACAUAGAUAUUUGUUAAAACAUCAGAUUUUGUAAAAUUAACCUUCAUGAUAUAAAAUAAACACUUCUCUUCUCUCAUUCCUUUUAAGCUGCCACUCUUCUACCU
ensembl:lncRNA